UGGCCAGCCAAAGGGUGGGGGGGGGGGAUAAGGAGGAGGAGGGGGAAAGAAGAGGGUGACAGAUGGGAGCCAGGAAAGGAGAGGGGGGAGGUCAGAAGAAUGGGUCUUUCUUUGCAGCCCCAUUGAUGCCCCCCUUUUUGUCCUGGGAGUGGCCUCCCCCUUUGGAAGAGCAAACAAUGGGGAGAGGCGCAGCAAGCAAGCCUGAAUUCUGAACGUACCACAGCAGAUCCACUUGGUAGAACUUCUGGCUGUAUGUGGUAUGGCAUUCCUGAAACGCUGAACUGGGCUUGAGACUGGAUGAGAAACUGUUCCACGGGGCGCUGUAGUAAAACAAUUGCCACAGACAACAUGUCAGUCUCAUUAAUCUGGGACAGUGGGCCUGGAAGAAUUCUGCCUGAGAGAUUUUUCAGCUCAUCCCAGACUUACAGAUGUGGAACAUGAAAGUUAACAUAACUCCAUAUCUGGGGAUGUGGUCACCAACCAAAGUGAAUGACUUUGGAUCAUACUAUGAAACUGCCCACAAUCCGGAAAAGGUCUCACCACCAUCACCGCUGGUUCCUCUGGUGUUACGGGACUCAGGUCACGCUUCUGACGCCAGCGCCCUUCCUGGAUGCUUCUAUUGGAGCUGGGGGUAGUCAUGGGCUCUUGGAGUUCUAGCUAUAGUGAAAGAGACAUUGUGCAGGUAAAAAACAAGCUGUUGUAUCUCAAGGGCAGCAAUGGAAAGCAUCUAUAUGCUUUCAAACAACCGAGACCAUACAUAAUUUCAAAUCUAUAAUGUGCAAAGGGAGAGAGUGUGGCUUUCAGAUGUCCUUGGACUGCAGCUCCCACCAUAUGCAUUUGAACAAUAUGUGGAGAAUCGAAAUUUGCCCACCCUCACUGGAGAGGCAAAUCACAUGUAUUUUCUGAAUCACCUAUAGGUAAAGGUAAAGGUUUUCCCCUGACAUUAAGUCUAGUUGUGUCCGACUCUGGGGGUUAGUGCUCAUCUCCAUUUCUAAGCCAAAGAGCUGAUGUUAGCCAUAGACGCUUCCAAGGUCAUGUGGCUGGCAUGACUGCAUGGAGCGUAGUGACCUUCCCGCUGGAGCAGUACCUAUUGAUCUACUCACAUUUGCAUGUUUUUGAACUGCUAGCUCAGGGGAAAAAAAGCUUUGUACUAUAACACCCACAAUCCUGCAGUCAGUGGCAAUGUUGAGUAGGUGUCCCUGAAAUUGUAGUCACUGGAGUAACCUUUACUAGCUGUACUAAUGGGUUACACCAAAUAUUUAAUGGAAAGGAAGGGAUUUUAGAAAGGAGGAAGACAUGGCACCAAAUAGGAGAAAUCUAAGUAUGGAAGCAAAGAAGAAGAAUGGAUGGAAUUUCUGAUGCAAACAUAAAUAAAAGGAUUUGGCUGUGAAAACA